rnacentral:rRNA from 1 species
GGACUACUAGGGUAUCUAAUCCUGUUUGCUCCCCACGCUUUCGCGCCUCAGCGUCAAUUCCAGGCCAGAUGGCCGCCUUCGCCACUGGUGUUCUUCCCAAUAUCUACGAAUUUCACCUCUACACUGGGAAUUCCGCCAUCCUCUCCUGGAUUCAAGCGCAACAGUAUCAAGCGCAAUUCCCGGGUUGAGCCCGGGGCUUUCACGCCUGACUUAUUGCACCGCCUACGCGCCCUUUACGCCCAGUAAAUCCGAACAACGCUAGCCCCCUUCGUAUUACCGCGGCUGCUGGCAC